rnacentral:misc_RNA from 1 species
AUUUUGCACAGAUUUAUGCAAAAGAUUAAGACUAGAUGUGCCUCUCUUCGCAACGGAAUGUCUCUUAGACAACAAUAUGCUAAUGGUUAUUGGCAAUCAUAGGGAGUUUUCUUGGAGGGGAUUCUAUAGUGAAGCAAUGAGAAGUUUCUUCUCUUGGACAAUGCAGGUUCUGGUGAAUUGGUGAAAUUAUUACCCACAUUAAAGUAUGUAUUGUAUCUCAUUUAUAAUGAGAAUCAUUGAUUGGAUAGAAAAGUAAAUUUUUUUUAAACUACCGAAAUAACUUUUAUUUCAGUGAAAUACGAGUGUGU